GGUAACACUGAAUGGAGGACCGAACCGACUUACGUUGAAAAGUGAGCGGAUGAACUGAGGGUAGCGGAGAAAUUCCAAUCGAACUUGGAGAUAGCUGGUUCUCUCCGAAAUAGCUUUAGGGCUAGCCUCAAGUGAUGAUUAUUGGAGGUAGAGCACUGUUUGGACGAGGGGCCCCUCUCGGGUUACCGAAUUCAGACAAACUCCGAAUGCCAAUUAAUUUAACUUGGGAGUCAGAACAUGGGUGAUAAGGUCCGUGUUCGAAAGGGAAACAGCCCAGACCACCAGCUAAGGUCCCAAAAUAUAUGUUAAGUGGAAAAGGAUGUGGCGUUGCCCAGACAACUAGGAUGUUGGCUUAGAAGCAGCCAUCAUUUAAAGAGUGCGUAAUAGCUCACUAGUCGAGUGACACUGCGCCGAAAAUGUACCGGGGCUAAACAUAUUACCGAAGCUGUGGAUUGUCCUUUGGACAAUGGUAGGAGAGCGUUCUAAGGGCGUCGAAGCAUGAUCGCAAGGACAUGUGGAGCGCUUAGAAGUGAGAAUGCCGGUGUGAGUAGCGAAAGACGGGUGAGAAUCCCGUCCACCGAUUGACUAAGGUUUCCAGAGGAAGGCUCGUCCGCUCUGGGUUAGUCGGGUCCUAAGCUGAGGCCGACAGGCGUAGGCGAUGGAUAACAGGUUGAUAUUCCUGUACCACCUAGUAUCGUUUUAAUAGAUGG
rnacentral:rRNA from 1 species